rnacentral:miRNA from 10 species
GAGGUGUUUUCUGAAUUGCGUUAUGU